UAGCGACUGGAGGUGCCUCAUUAGGGUUAUGUAAGGCUUGUCUUAUGGAUGCUCUAUGAUUGGCAAAUCAUUCCCUCAAUACAAUACAAGUGUAUUCCUUGUCUUGCCAAUAUAUGCCAGACCCCACGGGUAUAAGAUUUUUUUUAUAUAACAAAUGCAGUGGUGCAUGUUAUCCUGUGUAGGAUUUUGUAUUCCUUGCCUGUAUGUGGGUGGUAGCAAUCUACAGUUUGCACUGUUUAGUCCGGAUCUUUCAUCACAGGUAUUACCUUUGUCUAGGGAGAGGGUACUUCACCUUUACAAGUUUCUCGCACUUUAUUUUUGCUAUUUAAAGUUUGAAAUUGGAGCUAUGUGCUUAUCCUGAUGAAAGUCCUGUGAUGGACUGAAACGUAGAUUUGCUGUAACCCGU